rnacentral:misc_RNA from 1 species
GAUGAAGAACGCAGCAAAAUGCGAUAAGUAAUGUGAAUUGCAGAAUUCAGUGAAUCAUCGAAUCUUUGAACGCACAUUGCGCCCGCCAGUAUUCUGGCGGGCAUGCCUGUUCGAGCGUCAUUUCAACCCUCAAGCUCAGCUUGGUGUUGGGACUCGCGGUAACCUGCGUUCCCCAAAUCGAUUGGCGGUCACGUCGAGCUUCCAUAGCGUAGUAAUCAUACACCUCGUUACUGGUAAUCGUCGCGGCCACGCCGUAAAACCCCAACUUCUGAAUGUUGACCUCGGAUCAGGUAGGAAUACCCGCUGAACUUAAGCAUAUCAAAAGCGGAGGA